GCCGAGGUAGCUCAGUGGUAGAGCAGGAGCCUGAAGAGCUCCGUGUCGGGGGUUCAAUUCCCUCUCUCGGCA
rnacentral:tRNA from 1 species